AUCGCGGAAAGGGCAGACGUGCGAGUGGAGAGCUGUGAUGUGACAAAGAUGAUUGAAGGCAGACUGUGGACGUUGUCUAUAUGGACAUUGAACAAAGCAGACUGAUCCCAGUGAUUAAUGCCAAAGCCCUGUUGCCUGGGGAGAGGGUGAUGUUUGACUUUCUUGUACAGCUGCAGAUUGUGUGGGGAAGGUGCUCCCACAAUGUGGUUGGGAUGAGGCUGUCACUGGCUCGGCCAGCAUUUCUUGCUGCGUUUACCCAGAGGGCAGUUAAGAGUCAACAACGUUG